rnacentral:rRNA from 1 species
AUGGUGGGCACUCUAAGGAGACUGCCGGUGACAAACCGGGAGGAAGGUGGGGAUGACGUCAAGUCAUCAUGGCCCUUACGGCCUGGGCUACACACGUGCUACAAUGGUCGGUACAAAGGGUUGCCAAGCCGCGAGGUGGAGCUAAUCCCAUAAAACCGAUCGUAGUCCGGAUCGCAGUCUGCAACUCGACUGCGUGAAGUCGGAAUCGCUAGUAAUCGUGAAUCAGAAUGUCACGGUGAAUACGUUCCCGGGCCUU